GAUGAAGAACGUAGUGAAAUGCGAUAAGUAAUGUGAAUUGCAGAAUUCAGUGAAUCAUCGAAUCUUUGAACGCACAUUGCGCCCCUUGGUAUUCCGAGGGGCAUGCCUGUUCGAGCGUCAUUUCAACCCCUCAAGCUUAGCUUGGUGUUGGGCUGCGCCAGCGUUGCUGGCGGGCCUUAAAAUCAGUGGCGGUGCCGUUUGGGCUCCAAGCGUAGUAGCAUCUCUCGCUCUGGAGACCCGGCGGUUGCUUGCCAGACAAUCACUAAAAAAACAAAAGGUUUGACCUCGGAUCAGGUAGGGAUACCCGCUGAACUUAAGCAUAUCAAUAAGCGGAGGA
rnacentral:misc_RNA from 1 species